AUUGAACGCUGGCGGCAUGCUUUACACAUGCAAGUCGAACGGUAACAGGGUGCUUGCACCGCUGACGAGUGGCGAACGGGUGAGUAAUGCGUCGGAACGUGCCGAGUAGUGGGGGAUAACGCAGCGAAAGUUGUGCUAAUACCGCAUACGUACUGAGGUAGAAAGUGGGGGACCUUCGGGCCUCACGCUAUUCGAGCGGCUGACGUCUGAUUAGCUAGUAGGUGAGGUAAAGGCUCACCUAGGCGCGGAUCAGUAGCGGGUCUGAGAGGAUGAUCCGCCACACUGGGACUGAGACACGGCGCAGGAUCCUACGGGAGGCAGCAGUGGGGAAUUGUGGACAAUGGGCGAAAGCCUGAUCCAGCCAUGCCGCGUGUCUGAAGAAGGCCUUCGGGUUGUAAAGGACUUUUGUCAGGGAGGAAAUCCCUAGUGCUAAUAACACUGGGGGAUGACAGUACCUGAAGAAUAAGCACCGGCUAACUACGUGCCAGCCGCCGCAGUAA
rnacentral:rRNA from 1 species